rnacentral:rRNA from 1 species
UACAGAGGGUGCGAGCGUUAAUCGGAAUUACUGAGCGUAAAGCGCACGUAGGCGGCUUGGUAUGUCGGGUGUGAAAUCCCCGGGCUCAACCUGGGAACUGCAUCCGAAACUGCCUUGCUAGAGUAUGGGAGAGGGAAGUGGAAUUUCCGGUGUAGCGGUGAAAUGCGUAGAUAUCGGAAGGAACAUCAGUGGCGAAGGCGACUUCCUGGACCAAUACUGACGCUCAGGUGCGAAAGCGUGGGGAGCAAACAGG